rnacentral:rRNA from 1 species
AGCUUCAGUAGCGUAUAUUAAAGUUGUUGCAGUUAAAAAGCUCGUAGUCGCAUUUCUGGCGAGAGGAUCCGGUCCGACCUUUUGGUGGGUUCUUGGGUCUCUUUCGCCAUCCUUGAGUGGUCCGUUCUGGCAUUAGGUUGUCGGAGCGUCAGCCGCUCAUCGUUUACUGUGAGAAAAUUAGAGUGUUCAAAGCAGGCUUAUGCCGUUGAAUAUAUUAGCAUGGAAUAAUAAGAUAGGACCUCGGUACUAUUUUGUUGGUUUGCGCACCAAGGUAAUGAUGAACAGGGACAGUUGGAGGUAUUUGUAUUUCGUUGUCAGAGGUGAAAUUCUUAGAUUUACGAAAGACAAACUGCUGCGAAAGCAUUUACCAAGGAUGUUUUCA